CUCUGGGUAGUGCAAACCGUUAACAUGCUUGGUUGCUAACCAAAAGGCUGGACGUUCGAGUCCACCCAGAGA
rnacentral:tRNA from 1 species